AUACAGGAUUGUUAAUGAGAUGUACAAACUGCAACACAAUAAUGUAAGAAUCAUGAAAAGGCAAAGCAAUAUGACUCUUAGAAAAAGAAUCAAGACUCAUCAACUCCUGAACACAAGUAUGACCAGUGACCUGAGAAUGGAUGAAUUUAAUCCAGAACCUGGAGAGUCAACAACACAAAGGAUGAAUGAGAAAUCAAUGGCAAUAAGAACUCAUCAACAACAUGGAAGAAAAAUAAGCAAGGAAGUUCAUUCUGAAAAAAAAAGGUGAAUUAUUAGAUAGAUUCAACAGGGCAGAAAAAGAUAACUGGGAUGGUGGAUAAAGCUAAUAACAUAACCGUAUUCAGAUAUCAAUAAAAAAAGGCAUAAGCAUGACCAUGAUGCUCAAGAAUUUGAUAAAGAUCAAGAAACUAGAGGUAAGAAUUUAAAAGACAGAAGUUCAGGUAAGCAGUAAAGGCAUAGAAAGUCUAUGCACUGAAGGGAUAACAGAAAGUCCCUACACUCCAGGGACAUUUAAACAGAAGAGGUUUUAGAACCCUAAGCAGACAUGACUAAAUAAGAACUUCUCCCUGAUACAAGGGUGUCAGGGAUACAAAUCAAUGUUGCUGAAAGGACCC
rnacentral:lncRNA from 1 species